CUUGGUCAUUUAGAGGAAGUAAAAGUCGUAACAAGGUUUCCGUAGGUGAACUUGCGGGAAGGAUCAUUAUUGAUUGCGAAUCGUUGUCUUCAGUGCUGGCCAGCUUUGGCAAAGUGCACGUUGGCGGCUUUUCAUCCAAUACCCCUGUGAACCUUUGGCCUCUUGCUGGCUUUGGCUGGCAGAGGAUUUUUUACACCCACUCGAAAUGUAAUGAAAUUAUUGUUGUGCGCAAAGCACUAAUGUACGAACUUUCAAACAAACGGAUCUCUUGGCUCUCGCAUCGAUGAAGAACGCAAGCGAAAAUGCGAUAAAGUAAAUGUGAAAUUGCAGAAAUUCAGUGAAUCAUCGAAUCUUUGAACGCACCUUGCACCCUUUGGUAUUCCGAAGGGUAUGCUCGUUUGAGUGUCAUUGUACUCUCACACUUCUGAUCCUUUGGACCGGGAGCGGUGGGACUUGGGUGUUGCUGCUUUACUGCGGCUCACCUCAAAUGCAUUAGUGCAACUCUUGGUUGGACAUAGUACGGCGUGAUAAGUGUCUUCGCCGGCGCCUCGCAAGAGGGUGGCUGAUCAGGAGCUCUGUGCUUUCGAACUGUCUUCGGACAACAACUGACAACUUGACCUCAAAUCGAGUAGGACCACCCGCUGGACUUAAGCAUAUCAAUAAGCGGAGGA
rnacentral:rRNA from 1 species